rnacentral:rRNA from 1 species
UUCUUUCUAGAAACACUUUCCAGUACCUCUACUUUGUUACGACUUAUUUCAAUUUAUUAAUGAAAGCGACGGGCAAUAUGUACAUAUUUUAAUUUAUAAUCAUUUUAUUAAAUUAAAUAAAAUUACAUUUAAAUCCACCUUCAAAUAUUUAUUUCAAAAUAUUAUUCAUUUAAUUAUAUUUAUUAUUGUAAUCCAUCAUAUUCUUAAUUAUUAUCUGCAUCUUGAUCUGAAUUAAUUUUUUAUUUUAAUUUUUAAAUAUUAUUUUUAUUAAAAAAUAUUUUUUUAACAACGAUAUACAAAAUUAAAUAUUAAGUAAAUUUAUUCGCGGAUUAUCAAUUAUUAGACAGAUUCCUCUAAAUGAACUAAAAUACCGCCAACUUAUUUAAGUUUCAAUAAAUUAUUAUAUACUAUUUUAGUUUUUAUUUUUAAUUUUUAAUAAUAGGGUAUCUAAUCCUAGUUUUUUAUAAAAUCUUAUAAAACAUAAUAUUAAUUUAAAAUUUACAUUAAAUUAAAAUUUCACCUAAUAAUUUAAUAUUUAAUUUUUAAUUUAUUAUUAAUUAUUAACUAAUAAAAUUUAAAUUAUAUUUUGUAUAACCGCAACUGCUGGCACAAAAUUUGUUUAUAAUAAAAAUAUUACUAAAUCUUAAUUUCUUAAAUUUUUAAUAUUAAUUACUACUUCUAUUAUAUAAUAUUUUUAAAAUAACAUAAAAUUCAUACUAAAAUUUAUAUGUAAAAUAAAUUUAAAUUAAAUUUAAUAAAUCAUAAUAUUUA